rnacentral:miRNA from 1 species
UGAUGAAGCUGAAGAUGAUAAUGAAGAUGAUGACCAUCAUCAUCAUUAUCAUCAAACAAU